UUCCCAUCUAAUCACCGCCUAUCAGAGAUAGAAGAAAGUCCUUAUAAUGACCUGAUGUGUCUGAUCGAACGGUACUGGCUAAUGGUUUUCCAUAUCUUGAGAGGUACACCAUUUCCCCCAACUUCAAGGAUGUUGUGAAGACAAUAUUCGAGCAAUCGCUCCAUGUAGUCUACCGCACUAGUUUGAGCUGGAGUACAGGUGGAAUUACCUUGUUCAGUGGCUACACUGAUGGUGUGAUGAGAGUUUGUAGAAUUGGACGUUAUCAGGAAGAGCUAUCAGAAAAAACUAGGAAAUUUAGCAUUUUCCUAUGCUUACUUAGGUUUCAGUCUAUUGGUCUCGUAUUGGAUCAAAUUUUUGUGUCUGCUUUUUUGUGCAGACAGGUAUGGAAAAGAGUCUUUUUGGAAAUCAUCCAGUUUCAUUAAAACAUCAA